GUUUGGGGAGCUUGUCGCUAGUCGAGGACUUAAUGCUGAAGAGGGGUCUAAGAAAAUCCUGACGCACACUGGUUGGGAACUGAAGCCGUUCUCCUGACGAGCCCAAGGCAGGGCGAAACCAGUCGACAUUGUGCUACUUCCACUAGGCUUACUCUCGUAGUAUGGGAUGCGGGAGUGCCGCACGGGUUCGAAACCUCUCGUCCCGUGACAAAUGGUAUCAGAGCCGCGCUUGUCAUCUCUCGAAGCCCUCCUCGCGAGCUCGCCAAGCGCUCCAAUGCCGCACCACGCAAGUCCCCACCCUUUCGGAUGCAAGGGUCGACAAGCGGGACGAACAGGCGGGUUCUCACACCCCCAAGCGUUCGCACUAAGUGGAUGGUGUCUGCACGCGGGUCCUCUCCACGGAUCGAGGACGAGUAGGCAGGGAGUUCAUGGGUUGAGAUUGGCAAGGCGAUCUUCACGUUUUCGCGCGGAAGUGCACAUUUGCGAGGCGUACUCUGCAUGCACGAGGACGUGCAUGGUUAUGGCGGUGGGAGAAUGUCACGGACCGCAAUCAUGGCACCCAAGAUAUGCGCUUGUACGCUAGUGUCGAUGAUGGUUGUGCUGAUUGUUGGAGACAUGCUUCAGGAAUGUGUGUGUGGGGAAUAUAAUGCCCUAGACUCUUUGGAGUUCAGGCAGGCCAACCCGGUUAAGUUUGGGGAGCUUGUCGCUAGUCGAGGACUUAAUGCUGAAGAGGGGUCUAAGAAAAUCCUGACGCACACUGGUUGGGAACUGAAGCCGUUCUCCUGACGAGCCCAAGGCAGGGCGAAACCAGUCGACAUUGUGCUACUUCCACUAGGCUUACUCUCGUAGUAUGGGAUGCGAGAGUGCCGCACGGGUUCGAAACCUCUCGUCCCGUGACAUUACGCUUACUUGAAGUGUAUUAAAAAUUUUCUGGGCUGUGCCAUUUCGCUUUUGAAUUUUGUCAACAAAGUCAACCGCACGCCACACGCUUCCACUAUCAUCUUCUCCUUUCAAACUUACAAUUUUUUUUUAAUUUUUUAAUUUUCUGGAAAGAGCUGGCUUUCCUUGGUUUUUACUUUUUGCCAAAAUUAUUCAUCCCUUUUUCUUUUUAUUUUUGUUUUUGGUUUUUGCUUUUGCUUUUGCUUGGGAUUCUUGGUGAUCAGGUAAAUUCAUCCCUAACUAGAAAAUAAUUCAAAUAUAGAAAAUUAUAUGUAAAAUUAUUUUCGAAACUAUUAUCUUCUCAUAAGGAAAUUUAGUUCUAAGAUAUUGAAUAAAAGAAUCCAUUUAAAAGUUACAACUCUGAAAUAUUUAAUGUUUUAACCAUUGCUAGUGACAUCCAUGACUUUAUAAUUUUGUUGGUUUUCAAAUGUUGAAGAAACCUUGUCACUUCUUACAUCACUAGCGAAGUCAUUUUCUUAUGUAAUUUAUUGUUGUAACUUCAGUGAAAUAAAUAUUCAUUUCUUGUUGUUGGAUUGUUGGCAGUAGAAGAUCAAUUAUUUAGGAACCAUUUUGUUUAAUUUUAUUAAUGUCUUAAUACCCUCCGUUUUCCUUUUAACCUCUAUUAUGUGUAUGCAUAGUUAUUUUUUAUGGCAUAAAUAAUCAAGUUUAAUUAAAGCUAAUAUUAUAAAAAUAAAAUGCUCUUGGGUCUUGGCACCUUUUUUUCCCU
rnacentral:lncRNA from 1 species